rnacentral:lncRNA from 1 species
GCCGCUAUCUGGCUGGGCACAAAUCACAAACCACUGAAGCAGGAACAAACUUUAUUUUUGAACUGCAAGAAAAAACCUCACACACGCUCCUGGGGAAUUCUCCCGAAUGCCACGCGGCUUGUCCAGGAACCCCCAGCCGGAAAUAUCUCUCCCGGAAAUCCCUCCUCCUGCACUUCCCCAACCAAUGGGAACUCUCGGGGAAUCCCCGGAAAUCCCCACGAGAACUCCAAAAUAGUGCGAGAACUCAAAAGUAGCGGCAGAGGCGGAUAGUAAUGCCUCGCCUGUCAAUCAAUACUGUUGGCAAAAUGCCAGGGGCCAUACAGACUCGGCAGUGGCUCUCAGCAC